AUAGCUCAGCUGGGAGAGCAUCUGCCUUACAAGCAGAGGGUCACAGGUUCGAGCCCUGUU
rnacentral:tRNA from 1 species